CUAACUUUAGCAAAAACUUAAACCUGAAAAAAAAGAUUUUCUGAGCCUUGUACUGGUCAAAAUUGUUUUCAAUAAUCUUUUGAGCCAACAUGAAUCGACAAAUUGUCAGCGACAAUGGCUUUUUGGUUAUUUUAAACAAAUUUCAUCUGAAAUUUAGGGUUAUAAGUGGUUCAAAAAUCUUUUUUUUGUGAUUCAAGCUCUAUGCAUUUUUGCUAAUCCGAUUACAACAUGGUAAUUGAGAAGCAUAAGUCUCAUGCUUCUUCAAAAUAGAUUCACAGAAGUGUUCAGCAAUAUUCAUCUGUCCAAAUAUUAAACACUUACUAAUGGAUUCACCACGGGUUCUUUCAAUUCAAAGUUAUGUUGUGCAUGGUUAUGUCGGAAAUAAAAGUGCAACCUUCCCUUUACAGGUUCUGGGAUUUGAAGUUGAUGCUAUCAAUAGUGUUCAAUACACUAAUCACGUCCAUUACAAAGUAACAAAAGGACAAGAGCUUUUUGGAAAUGAUCUGGAUGACCUCUUCAAAGGAAUCAAUGGAAAUGAAUAUGUUGGCCAAUAUACUUAAUAAAAGGACAUGUACGAGUAUGUAUGUAAUGUAUGCGUCUUCGAUUCAAUUAUCCCAUCUGAACCAUCAUCAAUAAUUUUCCGUGUUUUUGGAAUGGCCCUUUUAGUCCUGAUUUUUUGAAAAAGUAUCUAAAGACACCUCUAGUUGGUUUCCUGGAUUUUCUGAAUUUCAUUUCUGACCAGAAAAAUUGGUUUUGCUAAGCUUCUAUUGGAUUUAUUCGAAAAAUUCACACACCCUGAGGGUUCACUUUCUCACACUUGAUUCACACAAUUAAAUUUUCAAUGAUCAAUUCAGGAGGUGCAAUCAUCUUCUGAGGAUCCAAAUUUUUACCAAUCAUCC